rnacentral:rRNA from 1 species
UUUUAUGGAGAGUUUGAUCCUGGCUCAGGAUGAACGCUGGCGGCGUGCCUAAUACAUGCAAGUCGAGCGAACAGACGAGGAGCUUGCUCCUCUGACGUUAGCGGCGGACGGGUGAGUAACACGUGGAUAACCUACCUAUAAGACUGGGAUAACUUCGGGAAACCGGAGCUAAUACCGGAUAAUAUAUUGAACCGCAUGGUUCAAUAGUGAAAGACGGUUUUGCUGUCACUUAUAGAUGGAUCCGCGCCGCAUUAGCUAGUUGGUAAGGUAACGGCUUACCAAGGCAACGAUGCGUAGCCGACCUGAGAGGGUGAUCGGCCACACUGGAACUGAGACACGGUCCAGACUCCUACGGGAGGCAGCAGUAGGGAAUCUUCCGCAAUGGGCGAAAGCCUGACGGAGCAACGCCGCGUGAGUGAUGAAGGUCUUCGGAUCGUAAAACUCUGUUAUUAGGGAAGAACAAAUGUGUAAGUAACUAUGCACGUCUUGACGGUACCUAAUCAGAAAGCCACGGCUAACUACGUGCCAGCAGCCGCGGUAAUACGUAGGUGGCAAGCGUUAUCCGGAAUUAUUGGGCGUAAAGCGCGCGUAGGCGGUUUUUUAAGUCUGAUGUGAAAGCCCACGGCUCAACCGUGGAGGGUCAUUGGAAACUGGAAAACUUGAGUGCAGAAGAGGAAAGUGGAAUUCCAUGUGUAGCGGUGAAAUGCGCAGAGAUAUGGAGGAACACCAGUGGCGAAGGCGACUUUCUGGUCUGUAACUGACGCUGAUGUGCGAAAGCGUGGGGAUCAAACAGGAUUAGAUACCCUGGUAGUCCACGCCGUAAACGAUGAGUGCUAAGUGUUAGGGGGUUUCCGCCCCUUAGUGCUGCAGCUAACGCAUUAAGCACUCCGCCUGGGGAGUACGCCCGCAAGGUUGAAACUCAAAGGAAUUGACGGGGACCCGCACAAGCGGUGGAGCAUGUGG